rnacentral:rRNA from 1 species
UACGUAGGGUGCAAGCGUUAAUCGGAAUUACUGGGCGUAAAGCGUGCGCAGGCGGUUUUGUAAGACAGAGGUGAAAGCCCCGGGCUCAACCUGGGAAUGGCAUUUGGGACUGCAAGGCUUGAGUGCGGCAGAGGAGACUGGAAUUCCUGGUGUAGCAGUGAAAUGCGUAGAUAUCAGGAGGAAUACCGAUGGCGAAGGCAGGUCUCUGGGCUGACACUGACGCUGAGACGCGAAAGCGUGGGGAGCAAACAGG